AUUGAACGCUGGCGGCAGGCGUAACACAUGCAAGUCGAGCGAGCGGCGGACGGGUGAGUAAGGUCUGGGAAAGUGCCUGACGGAGGGGGAUAACGACGGGAACGGGUAGCUAAUACCGCAUACCAUCAGAUGGGCCCAGAUGGGAUUAGCGAGUAGGUGGGGUAAUGGCUCACAUAGGCGACGAUCCCUAGCUGGUCUGAGAGGAUGACCAGCCACACUGGAACUGAGACACGGUCCAGACUCCUACGGGAGGCAGCAGUGGGGAAUAUUGCACAAUGGGCGCAAGCCUGAUGCAGCCAUGCCGCGUGUGUGAAGAAGGCCUUCGGGUUGUAAAGCACUUUCAGCGAGGAAGCGUUACUCACAGAAGAAGCACCGGCUAACUCCGUGCCAGCAGCCGCGGUAAUAC
rnacentral:rRNA from 1 species